UACGAAGGGUGCAAGCGUUACUCGGAAUUACUGGGCGUAAAGCGUGCGUAGGUGGUUCGUUAAGUCUGAUGUGAAAGCCCUGGGCUCAACCUGGGAAUGGCAUUGGAUACUGGCGACCUAGAGUGCGGUAGAGGGGUGUGGAAUUCCCGGUGUAGUGGUGGAAUGCGUAGAUAUCGGGAGGAACAUCAGUGGCGAAAGCGGCACCCUGGCAUUUGCCUGACGCUCAUGUGCGAAAGCGUGGGGAGCGAACGGG
rnacentral:rRNA from 1 species